rnacentral:rRNA from 1 species
GCGGCCAGGUCUUGGAACAUAGCCAGGGUGAUCUUGAUCCUGGAGGAGGGCAGCGUUGAGUACGAGGUCGUCGCCGUCGACUUCGCCACCGCUGAGCACAAGAGCCCCGCCCACCUUGCCAGGAACCCAUUCGGUCAGGUGCCUGUCUUGGAGGAUGGUGAUUUCUGCCUCUGGGGUAAAGUCGCGCGCACUAAAUAUGUAUGCCGCAAGUACAAGCCCGAGCUUCUCGGGGUCGGCAACCAGGAGCUGGAGGGAUCAGCAAUGGUGGACGUGUGGAUGGAGGUGGAGGCUCACCAUUACAGCCCUAUAAUGGAUGCUAUCCUCAUGGAAAUCAGGAUCCGGCCGAUCUUUGGGCAAAGAGUAGACGAGAGCGCCGUGGAGGGCAACAUCGAGAAGCUAAAGAAGGUGCUGGAGGUGUACCAGUCGAGGCUGUCGAGCUCCAGGUACCUGGCUGGUGAUUUCAUCAGCCUCGCGGACCUCAACCAUGUGUCCACCAUGUUGUGCCUAGGGGUCACUACAUACAGGUCAGUUCUCGACGCGUACCCACGUGUGAGGGCAUGGUGGGAUGGCCUGAGGGCCAGGCCGGCGGUGAGGAAGGUGUCUGGUCUAAUGAAUCCGUCCGCGAAGAAUUUCUGA